CUAGAUGGUGAGGUAACGGCUCACCAUGGCAAUGAUACGUAGCCGACCUGAGAGGGUAAUCGGCCACAUUGGGACUGAGACACGGCCCAAACUCCUACGGGAGGCAGCAGUAGGGAAUCUUCCACAAUGGACGAAAGUCUGAUGGAGCAACGCCGCGUGAGUGAAGAAGGGUUUCGGCUCGUAAAACUCUGUUGUUAAAGAAGAACAUAUCUGAGAGUAACUGUUCAGGUAUUGACGGUAUUUAACCAGAAAGCCACGGCUAACUACGUGCCAGCAGCCGCGGUAAUACGUAGGUGGCAAGCGUUGUCCGGAUUUAUUGGGCGUAAAGCGAGCGCAGGCGGUUUUUUAAGUCUGAUGUGAAAGCCUUCGGCUCAACCGAAGAAGUGCAUCGGAAACUGGGAAACUUGAGUGCAGAAGAGGACAGUGGAACUCCAUGUGUAGCGGUGAAAUGCGUAGAUAUAUGGAAGAACACCAGUGGCGAAGGCGGCUGUCUGGUCUGUAACUGACGCUGAGGCUCGAAAGUAUGGGUAGCAAACAGGAUUAGAUACCCUGGUAGUCCAUACCGUAAACGA
rnacentral:rRNA from 1 species